rnacentral:rRNA from 1 species
UACGUAGGGGGCAAGCGUUGUCCGGAAUUAUUGGGCGUAAAGAGCGUGUAGGCGGUCCGGUAAGUCAGCUGUGAAAGUCAAGGGCUCAACCCUUGAAUGCCGGUUGAUACUGUCAUGACUAGAGUCCGGUAGGGGAGCGUGGAAUUCCUGGUGUAGCGGUGAAAUGCGCAGAUAUCAGGAGGAACACCAGCGGCGAAGGCGGCGCUCUGGGCCGGUACUGACGCUGAGGAGCGAAAGCGUGGGUAGCAAACAGG